rnacentral:rRNA from 1 species
GGAAACGGGUGGUAAUGCCGGAUGCUCCAGUUGAUCGCAUGGUCUUCUGGGAAAGCUUUCGCGGUAUGGGAUGGGGUCGCGUCCUAUCAGCUUGACGGCGGGGUAACGGCCCACCGUGGCUUCGACGGGUAGCCGGCCUGAGAGGGCGACCGGCCACAUUGGGACUGAGAUACGGCCCAGACUCCUACGGGAGGCAGCAGUGGGGAAUAUUGCACAAUGGGCGCAAGCCUGAUGCAGCGACGCCGCGUGAGGGAUGGAGGCCUUCGGGUUGUAAACCUCUUUUAUCGGGGAGCAAGCGAGAGUGAGUUUACCCGUUGAAUAAGCACCGGCUAACUACGUGCCAGCAGCCGCGGUAAUACGUAGGGUGCAAGCGUUAUCCGGAAUUAUUGGGCGUAAAGGGCUCGUAGGCGGUUCGUCGCGUCCGGUGUGAAAGUCCAUCGCUUAACGGUGGAUCCGCGCCGGGUACGGGCGGGCUUGAGUGCGGUAGGGGAGACUGGAAUUCCCGGUGUAACGGUGGAAUGUGUAGAUAUCGGAAA